UGGGGAAUAUUGGACAAUGGGCGCAAGCCUGAUCCAGCAAUGCCGCGUGUGUGAAGAAGGCCUUCGGGUUGUAAAGCACUUUUAUCAGGAGCGAAACGCUGUCGGCUAAUACCCGGCGGAACUGACGGUACCUGAGGAAUAAGCACCGGCUAACUUCGUGCCAGCAGCCGCGGUAAUACGAAGGGUGCAAGCGUUAGUCGGAAUUACUGGGCGUAAAGCGUGCGUAGGCGGUUUCUUAAGUCUGCUGUGAAAUCCCCGGGCUCAACCUGGGAAUGGCAGUGGAUACUGGGAGGCUAGAGUGUGUCAGAGGGUGGUGGAAUUCCCGGUGUAGCGGUGAAAUGCGUAGAGAUCGGGAGGAACAUCAGUGGCGAAGGCGGCCACCUGGGACAACACUGACGCUGAGGCACGAAAGCGUGGGGAGCAAACAGGAUUAGGAUACCCUGGUAGUCCACGCCCUAAACGAUGCGAACUGGAUGUUGGUCUCAACUCGGAGAUCAGUGUCGAAGCUAACGCGUUAAGUUCGCCGCCUGGGGAGUACGGU
rnacentral:rRNA from 1 species